GAACAAACGUCUGGCAUCUCUGGCACCAUGCAAGGCAUUGAGGUUGAUGCCCCCUCUCUGGGUAGUCAGAGGCACCAGGGCCUAGAAGAAGGAGCAAGCCUGGGGCUGGUCCCCUUACCUCGAUGCCAGCUGUUUUGAAGAUACAUUUCUGAGGUCUCCUCCCAAGCAGACAGCAUUGUCUCUCCCCCUUCUGUGCACCACCAGCUAAGGGCCCCUUUCUGACACCCCCAGCUGGGCCCAACUCCUGACCCUCUCCACUUUCCCAGCCUGGGGUGGAGGAGGGAAGGAAGGAGAAGAGGGAUAUCUGAGACCUUAUGCUAAGCUGAAUAAUGUCCCCCAAAGAUAGCCACAUCCUAA